rnacentral:tRNA from 1 species
AUUUAGGUAGUUUAUUAGAACUUUGUAUUGAAGAUACAAAAGAGGAUUUUAUAUCCCUUAAAUA